rnacentral:sRNA from 1 species
GUAUCUGAAGCCUGACGAGGAUGAGAACCUCCGGGGGCAAGAGGUUCGACUCGAGCGAAGUGAGAGAACGUUGCGUCAGCAACGGCCCGCAGUGGCAAGUCAUCCUCUGUCACCGGCAG